rfam:Salmo salar isolate Sally breed double haploid chromosome ssa07, whole genome shotgun sequence.
GCCCCAGUGGCCUAAUGGAUAAGGCACUGGCCUCCUAAGCCAGGGAUUGAGGGUUCGAGUCCCUUCUGGGGUG